UGCUCACGCAACGGCACUCCAACCUGGGUGACAAAGCAAGCCCGUGUCUUAAAAAAAAAAGGGCACGUAGGAAUUGGAUGGCAAAUUCAAGCCUAUGGUGCACACAAAAAUACCUGCAAACCACAAAUAAAGAAAUGGAGGAGGCAGUCGGUGCAGGUCUUCGGAUGCAAGAAGACGGCCACAGCUGUGGCGCACUGCUAACGUGGCAAUGGUCUCAUCAAGGUGAACGGGCAGCCCCUGGAGAUGAUUGAGCCGCCCACACUACAGUACAAGCUGCUGGAGCCAGUUCUACUUCCUGGCACGGAGGGAUUUGCUGGUGUGGACAUCCGUGUCUGUGUGAAGGGUGGUGGUCAUGUGGCCCAGAUUUAUGCUAUCCAUCAGUCCAUCUCCAAAGCCCUGGCGGCCUAUUACCAGAAACAUGUGGAUGAUGCUUCGAAGAAGGAGAGCAAAGACAUCCUCAUCCAGUGUGACCUGACCCUGCUGGUAGCUUAUCCCCGUCGCUGUGAGUCCAAAAAGUUUGGAGGCCCUGGUGCCUGUGCUCGCUGCCAGAAAUCCUACCGAUAAGCCCAUCAUGACUAUCAAAAUUCACCUGUAUAAUAAACAGUUUUUGAGGGAUUUUAAAGUUUCAAAAAAA